CGCGGUAAUUCCAGCUCCAAUAGCGUAUACUAAAGUGUUGCAGUUAAAAAGCCCGUAGUUGGAUUUCUGGCGGGGACGGCUGGUCGGUCUCGAAAGGGGCUGUACUGUUGUUGGUUCCCGUCAUCUUUGGGGAGAGCGGCUCUUACAUUAAGUUGUCGGCGUCGGGAUCCCUAUCUUUUACUGUGAAAAAAUUAGAGUGUUCAAAGCAGGCUUAGGCCCUGAAUACAUUAGCAUGGAAUAAUAAGAUACGACCUUGGUGGUCUAUUUUGUUGGUUUGCACGCCAAGGUAAUGAUUAAUAGGGAUAGUUGGGGGUAUUCGUAUUCAAUUGUCAGAGGUGAAAUUCUUGGAUUUAUGGAAGACGAACUACUGCGAAAGCAUUUACCAAGGAUGUUUUCAUUAAUCAAGAACGAAAGUUAGGGGAUCGAAGAUGAUUAGAUACCAUCGUAGUCUUAACCAUAAACUAUGCCGACUAGGGAUCGGUGGGUGCAUUUUUAGGCCUCAUCGGCACCUUAUGAGAAAUCAAAGUCUUUGGGUUCCGGGGGGAGUAUGGUCGCAAGGCUGAAACUUAAAGAAAUUGACG
rnacentral:rRNA from 1 species